rnacentral:snoRNA from 1 species
UCCCGGUGAAGAAAGAGUCACAUGUCCUACCUCCUGUCCUAGUCCCAGAGCCUGUAAAGGUGAACCCACUGGGGCUGGCUGGGGGAAAAGAGGAAACUUGUUCCAGAAGGAACUGUCUGAGGGAU